GUCGACAGCCAUACCACCCGCAACGUGCCCGAUCUUGUCUGAUCUCGGAAGCUAAGCAGGGUCAGGCCUGGUUGGUACUUGGAUAGGGGAUCACCUGGGAAUACCGGGUGCUGUAGGCU
ensembl:rRNA 5S_rRNA 5S ribosomal RNA